CUUGACCCUAGGAGCAUUGCAGAUGUGGCUGCUGUGUCACCCGUGCAUCAGUAGGUGGCAGAAAGGACAGAGGCUGUGUCUACACUGAGUGUUCUGACCUGUGAACCUCUGACCGAUUAGAGCCUAACAUU
ensembl:snoRNA LOC120103305 small nucleolar RNA SNORA17